rnacentral:rRNA from 1 species
UACGUAGGGGGCUAGCGUUGUCCGGAAUCAUUGGGCGUAAAGCGCGCGUAGGCGGCUCGGAAAGUCGGUCGUGAAAUGCCGGGGCUCAACCCCGGGACUGCGUCCGAUACUCUCGAGCUGGAGGCAGGUAGGGGAGAUCGGAAUUCCUGGUGUAGCGGUGAAAUGCGCAGAUAUCAGGAGGAACACCGGUGGCGAAGGCGGAUCUCUGGGCCUUGCCUGACGCUGAGGCGCGAAAGCUAGGGGAGCGAACAGG